rnacentral:rRNA from 1 species
ACGAACGCUGGCGGCGUGCCUAACACAUGCAAGUCGAACGAGAAGUACGUAGCAAUACGUAUUGUAAAGUGGCGCACGGGUGAGUAACACGUGGGUAAUCUGCCCUUGAGUUUGGGAUAACCCCGCGAAAGCGGGGCUAAUACCGAAUAAGACCACGGGGACCAAAGUCCCUGAGGUAAAAGGUGGCCUCUAUUUAUAAGCUACCACUUGAGGAUGAGCCCGCGGCCCAUUAGCUAGUUGGCAGGGUAAUGGCCUACCAAGGCAAUGAUGGGUAGCUGGUCUGAGAGGACGAUCAGCCACACUGGAACUGAGACACGGUCCAGACUCCUACGGGAGGCAGCAGUGGGGAAUAUUGCGCAAUGGGCGAAAGCCUGACGCAGCAACGCCGCGUGGGGGAUGAAGGUUCUCGGAUUGUAAACCCCUUUCGAUCGGAACGAAUCCCCUCCUGGUAAAUAAUCAGGAGGAUCGACGGUACCGAGAGAAGAAGCCACGGCUAACUCUGUGCCAGCAGCCGCGGUAAGACAGAGGUGGCGAGCGUUGUUCGGAUUUAUUGGGCGUAAAGCGAACGCAGGUGGUUUGGUAAGUCAGGGGUGAAAGACCACAGCUUAACUGUGGCAUUGCUUUUGAUACUGCCUUUCUUGAGUAGAGUAGGGGGAAGCGGAAUUCCGAGUGUAGAGGUGAAAUUCGUAGAUAUUCGGAGGAACACCGGUGGCGAAGGCGGCUUCCUGGACUCUAACUGACACUCAUGUUCGAAAGCGUGGGGAGCAAACAGGAUUAGAUACCCUGGUAGUCCACGCCCUAAACGAUGGGCACUAGGUGUGGGAGGUAUCGACCCCUUUCGUGCCGCAGCUAACGCAUUAAGUGCCCCGCCUGGGGAGUACGG